GCAAAACUAAUGGAGGUGCAAUACUAAUAGAGGGUGCAAAAAAUUUUCGAACAGGUUUUUUCUCAUGUUUUCCAUUAAGUUAUGGCAUAAUAUUAUCAACUUCAAUGACAACUUAUGAACCAAAAUGGACGAAUUUUACGGUUGAUACGCAAAAAUUGUCCGAGUUGUAUUCAUAUUUUGCCAAUUUUGACUUGUUGUACCAAGGCUGUAAGAAUUUUCCUAAUUUUAAGAACGAUUUUAUUAUGCAAAUUUUGAAUUCCUAAAAUUAGGGAACAAAUGAAGGGGUGCAAAACUAUUAGAGGUGCAAAACUAAUAGAGGUGCCUAACUAAUAGAGGAAAUACGGUAUUUCAAAAUUCCUAUUUGAAAAAAAUAAUUUCAGUACAAUCACUUCCAUUCUUCUAUCCAAAAUAAACUACGACAUUUAUUUAGGAAAAAAUAAAAUAAAUAAAUAAGAAUAUUUUGUCUCAAUUUAUGCAAGAGUAAACAAAUGUGUCAAUUUUUUCGGAACUUAACUUGGUGGCAGUCAGUUUGAUCUCCGGGAAUCGCGACAAAUUUAUACGCAUCCUUUUAGAUUGCACUUUUUGCACUAACGUGUGACAUUAAAUUUUGGAGUAAAACUCCCGCAAACCAAAAUGGGAAAACGAUCAAUUGAUCCAGAAAAAAAAAACAAAAAAUAAUUCAAAGUUUUUUUUUUUGGAUUUUUACUGUUUCACAUUUUCUAUUUACAUACAUACUUAUUAAUAAGCGCUUAUUAAAAGUCUUAUUUUCAUUAACUCAAUUUUGAAGUUCAAACAUAAUAGAACGCUCAAUUGAUCAUUUUGAAAAAUAAAAACCUAACUUUUUUUUUUAAUUUUCACUGUUUCACAUCUCCUAUGUAUUUGAAUGAAUGGUUUUUCAGUUC
ensembl:lincRNA linc-145 ncRNA